rnacentral:tRNA from 1 species
GCCUGGUUGGCUCAGUGGGUUAAAGCCUCUGCCUUCAGCUCAGGUCAUGAUCUCAGAGUCCUGGGAUCGAAUCCCACAUUGGGCU